UUUUGCAUUAGAAUCCUUCUUUCAGUCUCGUAUUUCUGACAGUACAGUAUAACAUGUUCCACUGUUUCUUCUUGUCCACAAAAUUCACACCUUCCCGUAUCAUGUUUACCCAUUUUAAAAAGUGUACUAUUUAAUCUUGUGUGUCCAAAUUUCAUCCUUGAUAUUACUAUCUCAUCUCUCCUGUUUUUCCCUGCACUUCUCAUCUCUCCCACUUUCCUUUGAAUUCUGUAAAACCACCGACCUUUUUUCUCCUUAUCCCAUUGAGUCCACUAUUCAAAA